GUUAAGCGACUAAGCGUACACGGUGGAUGCCCUGGCAGUCAGAGGCGAUGAAGGACGUGCUAAUCUGCGAUAAGCGUCGGUAAGGUGAUAUGAACCGUUAUAACCGGCGAUUUCCGAAUGGGGAAACCCAGUGUGUUUCGACACACUAUCAUUAACUGAAUCCAUAGGUUAAUGAGGCGAACCGGGGGAACUGAAACAUCUAAGUACCCCGAGGAAAAGAAAUCAACCGAGAUUCCCCCAGUAGCGGCGAGCGAACGGGGAGCAGCCCAGAGCCUGAAUCAGUGUGUGUGUUAGUGGAAGCGUCUGGAAAGGCGCGCGAUACAGGGUGACAGCCCCGUACACAAAAAUGCACAUGCUGUGAGCUCGAUGAGUAGGGCGGGACACGUGGUAUCCUGUCUGAAUAUGGGGGGACCAUCCUCCAAGGCUAAAUACUCCUGACUGACCGAUAGUGAACCAGUACCGUGAGGGAAAGGCGAAAAGAACCCCGGCGAGGGGAGUGAAAAAGAACCUGAAACCGUGUACGUACAAGCAGUGGGAGCACGCUUAGGCGUGUGACUGCGUACCUUUUGUAUAAUGGGUCAGCGACUUAUAUUCUGUAGCAAGGUUAACCGAAUAGGGGAGCCGAAGGGAAACCGAGUCUUAACUGGGCGUUAAGUUGCAGGGUAUAGACCCGAAACCCGGUGAUCUAGCCAUGGGCAGGUUGAAGGUUGGGUAACACUAACUGGAGGACCGAACCGACUAAUGUUGAAAAAUUAGCGGAUGACUUGUGGCUGGGGGUGAAAGGCCAAUCAAACCGGGAGAUAGCUGGUUCUCCCCGAAAGCUAUUUAGGUAGCGCCUCGUGAAUUCAUCUCCGGGGGUAGAGCACUGUUUCGGCAAGGGGGUCAUCCCGACUUACCAACCCGAUGCAAACUGCGAAUACCGGAGAAUGUUAUCACGGGAGACACACGGCGGGUGCUAACGUCCGUCGUGAAGAGGGAAACAACCCAGACCGCCAGCUAAGGUCCCAAAGUCAUGGUUAAGUGGGAAACGAUGUGGGAAGGCCCAGACAGCCAGGAUGUUGGCUUAGAAGCAGCCAUCAUUUAAAGAAAGCGUAAUAGCUCACUGGUCGAGUCGGCCUGCGCGGAAGAUGUAACGGGGCUAAACCAUGCACCGAAGCUGCGGCAGCGACGCUUAUGCGUUGUUGGGUAGGGGAGCGUUCUGUAAGCCUGCGAAGGUGUGCUGUGAGGCAUGCUGGAGGUAUCAGAAGUGCGAAUGCUGACAUAAGUAACGAUAAAGCGGGUGAAAAGCCCGCUCGCCGGAAGACCAAGGGUUCCUGUCCAACGUUAAUCGGGGCAGGGUGAGUCGACCCCUAAGGCGAGGCCGAAAGGCGUAGUCGAUGGGAAACAGGUUAAUAUUCCUGUACUUGGUGUUACUGCGAAGGGGGGACGGAGAAGGCUAUGUUGGCCGGGCGACGGUUGUCCCGGUUUAAGCGUGUAGGCUGGUUUUCCAGGCAAAUCCGGAAAAUCAAGGCUGAGGCGUGAUGACGAGGUACUACGGUGCUGAAGCAACAAAUGCCCUGCUUCCAGGAAAAGCCUCUAAGCAUCAGGUAACAUCAAAUCGUACCCCAAACCGACACAGGUGGUCAGGUAGAGAAUACCAAGGCGCUUGAGAGAACUCGGGUGAAGGAACUAGGCAAAAUGGUGCCGUAACUUCGGGAGAAGGCACGC
rnacentral:rRNA from 1 species